rnacentral:rRNA from 1 species
GAUGAACGCUGGCGGCGUGCUUAACACAUGCAAGUCGAACGAGAAGUGAAGACGGAAACCUUCGGGCGGAAGGCUUUAUUUCGAGUGGCGGACGGGUGAGUAACGCGUGGGUAACCUGCCUCAUACAGGGGGAUAACAGUUGGAAACGACUGUUAAUACCGCAUAAGACCACAGCACCGCAUGGUGCGGGGGUAAAAACUCCGGUGGUAUGAGAUGGACCCGCGUUCGAUUAGCCAGUUGGCGGGGUAACGGCCCACCAAAGCGACGAUCGAUAGCCGAUCUGAGAGGAUGACCGGCCACAUUGGGACUGAGACACGGCCCAAACUCCUACGGGAGGCAGCAGUGGGGAAUAUUGCACAAUGGGGGAAACCCUGAUGCAGCGACGCCGCGUGAGUGAAGAAGUAUUUCGGGAUGUAAAGCUCUAUCAGCAGGGAAGAAAAUGACGGUACCUGAGGAAGAAGCCCCGGCUAACUACGUG